UACGGAGGGGGCGAGCGUUAUUCGGAAUUAUUGGGCGUAAAGGGCGCGUAGGCGGCCCCUGCAAGUCAAAGGUGAAAUCCCUCGGCUCAACUGAGGAACUGCCUUUGAAACUGCAGGGCUUGAGUCCGGGAGGGGGUAGCGGAAUUCCCAGUGUAGCGGUGAAAUGCGUAGAUAUUGGGAGGAACACCAGUGACGAAGGCGGCUACCUGGACCGGAACUGACGCUGAUGCGCGAAAAGCGUGGGUAGCAAAACAGGG
rnacentral:rRNA from 1 species